UUUAUGAUGUCAUGAAUGGCUCCCAUAGAUACAGGGAGAGUAGUGGAUGUUGUUUACCUUGACUUCAGGAAAGCUUUUGAAUUUGUCUCCCAUAACAUCCUCACAGGCUCCAGAAAGUCCUGAUCACAAAUUCUCAGAGAAGAUGGGAUUGCUACAUGACUGAGGACAGUUGUUUCCUAGAUACUCUGCUGAGAUGUCAGUCUUCUUUAACUUCAGUCUGGAGUGAAUUUAUUGGGGUUAUGUUGGCACCAUGGCUUCUGGCUCUGAGCCUGGCUUAGCAGAGACACGUGCCUCCCACCCUGCUUUCAGAAGGAUGUCAUUGAGGCAACCACACAAGGUCUAAGUAUCUGGCCAUAUGGAAGAAAAGUAAUUAGGUGGAUGGAAAUACUCCAGCCAGAGCUGGACUAACAGUUGGAUAUUACCUUCAUAAGUAUUGCCAUUAUCAUCUGAGCAGAUUUCAUUUUCAGAAGGCACUCCCAAUAAAAAGCAGGCACAAGACUGAAUCCAGCAUGGAAUUUGAUCCAGUUCUUACUGAGUUCUAUGCUACCACUCUGGGGCCAUUAUUCAGGUUGAACCUACAAAUCUUCAGGUGUCUGCCAUCUUCAGUAAUAUCUGAGUGCCCUAAUUUAAGGCAGGGAAUUAAACAUGUAGCAAAUGAGAAUCACAUGGGUAACGUUUGGAAAAUAAUUGUAGUAAGUAUGCUGAUGGAAAUCAUCCAAGAAAAGCUUCGGCAAAAUGAGCCCCAAAGUACAUUUCAUCUAUGUUUACAUUUUUAACACUAAAAUACAAAGUUUAUAUUGUUCCUCUAAUAGUCCACCUGGGGAAUGAGGAAUAUUUCUCUUCUGUGUUUCCAAAAAAAUAAAAAUAAGAUGGGAAAUAAAUGUUAAACAUUUAGUUUAAGGACAUAUUUUCAUCUUGUUUGAAGGCUUAUUUUUUAAUAACAUUAAUAAGAGGCAUACAUACUGGGAGAAUAAAUCCAUCUGGGCUUAUGUGUCAAAGGUAGGUGAGCUCAGCCGUGCAUUUCUUCGUCUACACUGUAUUGAUCCAAGCACACUUUGUAUCUGACAUACACAAAUACCUCUGUGACAGUCUUUGCUCUCACUUUGCCAGUUAGUUGCUCUGUAAGC